GAUGAACGCUGGCGGCGUGCCUAAUACAUGCAAGUCGAGCGAACGGACGAGAAGCUUGCUUCUCUGAUGUUAGCGGCGGACGGGUGAGUAACACGUGGAUAACCUACCUAUAAGACUGGGAUAACUUCGGGAAACCGGAGCCAAUACCGGAUAAUAUUUUGAACCGCAUGGUUCAAAAGUGAAAGACGGUCUUGCUGUCACUUAUAGAUGGAUCCGCGCUGCAUUAGCUAGUUGGUAAGGUAACGGCUUACCAAGGCAACGAUGCAUAGCCGACCUGAGAGGGUGAUCGGCCACACUGGAACUGAGACACGGUCCAGACUCCUACGGGAGGCAGCAGUAGGGAAUCUUCCGCAAUGGGCGAAAGCCUGACGGAGCAACGCCGCGUGAGUGAUGAAGGUCUUCGGAUCGUAAAACUCUGUUAUUAGGGAAGAACAUAUGUGUAAGUAACUGUGCACACCUUGACGGUACCUAAUCAGAAAGCCACGGCUAACUACGUG
rnacentral:rRNA from 1 species